rnacentral:rRNA from 1 species
AGUGAACGCUGGCGGUAGGCCUAACACAUGCAAGUCGAACGGCAGCACAGUAAGAGCUUGCUCUUACGGGUGGCGAGUGGCGGACGGGUGAGGAAUACAUCGGAAUCUACUUUUUCGUGGGGGAUAACGUAGGGAAACUUACGCUAAUACAGCAUACGACCUACGGGUGAAAGCAGGGGAUCUUCGGACCUUGCGCGAUUGAAUGAGCGGAUGUCGGAUUAGCUAGUUGGGGGGGUAAAGGCCCACCAAGUCGACGAUCCGUAGCUGGUCUGAGUGGAUGAUCGGCCACACUGGAACUGAGACACGCUCCAGACUCCUACGGGAGGCAGCAGUGUGGAAUAUUGGACAAUGGGCGCAAGCCUGACCCAGCCAUACCGCGUGGGUGAAGAAGGCCUUCGGGUUGUAAAGCCCUUUUGUUGGGAAAGAAAAGCAGCAGGUUAAUACCCCGCUGUUCUGACGGUACCCAAAGAAUAAGCACCGGCUAACUUCGUG